rnacentral:rRNA from 1 species
CCAGACUCCUACGGGAGGCAGCAGUGGGGAAUAUUGCGCAAUGGGCGAAAGCCUGACGCAGCGACGCCGCGUGAGGGAUGAAGGUCUUCGGAUCGUAAACCUCUGUCAGCAGGGAAGAACGGUCACUGUGCUAAUCAGCAGUGAAUUGACGGUACCUGCAAAGGAAGCACCGGCUAACUCCGUGCCAGCAGCCGCGGUAAUACGGAGGGUGCGAGCGUUAAUCGGAAUUACUGGGCGUAAAGCGCUCGUAGGCGGUAUGUCAAGUCAAGGGUGAAAUCCCCGCGCUCAACGUGGGAACUGCCUUUGGAACUGGCAAACUGGAGUGUGUGAGAGGAUAGUGGAAUUCCAGGUGGAGGAGUGAAAUCCGUAGAUAUAUGGAGGAACAUCAGUGGCGAAGGCGGCGAUCUGGCACAUAACUGACGCUGAGGAGCGAAAGCGUGGGGAGCAAACAGGAUUAGAUACCCCUGUAGGA